rnacentral:rRNA from 1 species
CGCGUAGGCGGGAUGGCAAGUCGGUCGUGAAAUCCCUCGGCUCAACUGAGGGGCGUCGAUCGAUACUGCCGUUCUUGAGGAUUGCAGAGGAGGCUGGAAUUCCCGGUGUAGCGGUGAAAUGUGUAGAGAUCGGGAGGAACACCGGUGGCGAAGGCGGGUCUCUGGGCAAUUCCUGACGCUGAGGCGCGAAAGCGUGGGGAGCAAACGGGAUUAGAUACCCCGGUAGUCCACGCUGUAAACGAUGACGACUAGGUGUGGGGGGGUUCAGUCCCUUCCGUGCCGCAGCUAACGCAUUAAGUCGUCCGCCUGGGGAGUACGGCCGCAAGGUUGAA